rnacentral:ncRNA from 1 species
ACCACUAGUAUUUGACCCAACACCUGCCGCACCAGGCAGGUGGAGACCCGAGGAGC